GCAAUAUAAGUUUGUAAGGAGUAACCCCUCCCCCACAAAAAAUCACUGGGAACAGGAGUUUUUCCCCUUUCCUUUUUAGUAUGGGGGGAUUUUUCCAAAGAUUUUGAACUGUUUUGCUGCCCCUCUCAUUUGUAUGUUUGCUAGGAAGAAGCUGAGGGGUGAGUAGACUCUGUGUACCAUGUACAUAUUUUAACGUAGCACAUUACAAUAAUUUAUGGAAAGUUUCUCUGUCUCUCUCAACUGCAGAGGUGGUCAGAGGAGAGGAUAAAUCUUUAAAAGAAUAAUGUUUUCAAAAUCAGGCUCCUUGUCCUCGAACCUUUUGAUAUAUGAGAGCAAUCGUAGGUAGGACACAUAGUGAAAUAUACAUGAGAUCUCCCCAGAAGAGAAUAGCAGAGUGGAGAAAAUAUUAGUGUUUACAUCAAAACUCAAUUGGCGCACUCGUUUCAAGAUGAUAGUUUAUUAUGUUGAAUGCAAUUUAGUCCCACAAGGAUAUUUCCUCCAUCUGUGACAGACACUCACUUGCUUCUGCAGACACACUCAUGCUUGCCUCUUCUCCUCUGGCCCCCGCCCCUGCCAUCAUUCUACCUGGAAGUUGACAUUUCUAGUGUAUAAUUCAUCCUCCCCCCCCCCGCAAUCUUCUGAAGGUUGGAAAUGGGGGAAGGAAUAGCCUGGUUUAGACAAGUUCACAGUUUCUUAGAGACCACAGAGCCUGAUCUUCAGCUGGCAUAAGUUGACGUCGCUCUGCUGGCCUUGAUGAGAUGAGAUUGCAUUUACAUCAGUUGAGGAAUCUGUCUUUAUGUCAAACAACUCUGCAUAGGGAAGAGAGAAAGAGAGGGAGAGAGAUGGUGGGUGGGGUAGGGGGGCCUGUGUGGAAUUAAAUAUAAAAAGAAAUCUCUGCAUGAUGGAAUGGAGAGCUGAUGCCUCACCAGCUGAUCCCAGAUUCUACCCUCUGGGCUUAAAAUGAGUCAAACUUGCAACUGGUUUUUCGUGACAAAGCCAGUGAUGUGAAGAGAGAUGAAGAUCAGAUGGUGUGUAAUUCUGGACCAGGGUUGGGGGACGUUUUUCAGCCUGAGGGCUGCUUUCCUAUCUGGACAAUGUUCUGAGGGCCACAUGGGUCAGAGGCAAAAGUGGGUCAGGGGCAAAAGUGGGAGAGGCGAUGCAGAUCCAGGAGAGCAAAGGUUAUAAUCAGAUUUCAUGGACACAUUCAGGCAAAAAUCUUUGCCUGAAUGUGUCCAUGAAAGAGGGCCAGUUAAGGGUGUGUUUGUGGUGUGGGAAGAGUUCUGAGGGCCAGACAGAGAGACCUGGAGGACCACAUUCACCCUCUGAUCCUAAUGCUGUCCACUUCUGAGGAGUGAUCAGUGAGCACUUAAGUCACCCUGCCUGUAUGCAACACAUUUUAUCCUGCUAAUCAAGGACAUACAGGCAGGGCUGGCCUGAGACAAUUUGCUCUAAGGUGAAGGAGAAAAUGGUGCCCCCAUUCCAUGUACAGAAGCAAACUGGAUAAGGAAAUCAACACAAGCAAUGAGACAGUGACCUCCAUCACACCUGAGGGCAUCAGGCUAGCUUAAGGGGUACAAGGCAAGUGGUUUGGCACAUGCCAAAUCACUGGUAACUGGAAGCGGCCACUGGUACCGUAUAACACCAGUCCUGAAAGACCUACAUCGGCUCCCAGUACAUUUCUGAGCAAAAUUCAAAGUGUUGGUGUUGACCCUUCAAGCCCUAAAUGGCCUUGGUCCUGUAUACCUGAAGGAGCGUCUCCACCCCCGUCGUUCAGCCCAGACACUGAGGUCCACCCCAAAGGCCUUUUGGCAGUUCCCUCACUGUGAGGGUCUUCUUGGUAGUGGCGCCCUCCCUGUGGAACACCAUCUCAUCAGAUGUCAAGGAGAUAAGUAACUCUACAACCCAUAGGAGACAUCUGAAGGCAGCCCUGUACAGUGGUACCUCGGGUUAAGUACUUAAUUCAUUCCAGAGGUCCGUUCUUAACCUGAAACUGUUCUUAACCUGAAGCACCACUUUAGCUAAUGGGGCCUCCUGCUGCCGACACGCCGCUGGAGCACAAUUUCUGUUCUCAUCCUGAAGUAAAAUUCUUAACCUGAAGCACUAUUUCUGGGUUAGCGGAGUCUGUAACCUGAAGCGUAUGUAACCUGAGGUACUACUGUAUAGGGAGGUUUUUAAUGUUUAAUGCUUUUUGAUGUUUUUAUAUAUGCUGGAAGCUGCCCAGAGUGGCUUGGGCAACCCAGUCAGAUGGGUGGGGUACUACUACAAUAAUAAUAAUAAUAAUAAUAAUAAUAAUAAUAAUAAUAAUUUAUUAUUUGUACCCCGCCCAUCUGGCUGGGUUUCCCCAGCCACUCUGGGCGGCUUCCAUAGAAACAAAAAAUACAGUAAAAUAUCACAGAUUAAAAGCUUCCCUGAACAGGGCUGCCUUAAGAUGCCUUAUAAAUGUCAGGUAGUUAUUUAUCGCUUUGACAUCUGAUGGGAGGGCGCUCCACAGGGCGGGCGCCACUACCGAGAAGGCCCUCUGCCUGGUUCCCUGUAGCUUUGCUUCUCGCAAUGAGGGAACCGCCAGAAGGCCCUCAGCGCUGGACCUCAGUGUCCGGGCAGAAUGAUGGGGGUGGAGAUGCUCCUUCAGGUAUACUGGGCCGGGGCCGUUUAGGGCUUUAAAGGUCAACACCAACACUUUGAAUUGUGCUCGGAAACGUACUGGGAGCCAAUGUAGGUCUUUCAAGACCGGUGUUAUGUGGUCUCGGCGGCCGCCCCCAGUCACCAGUCUAGCUGCCGCAUUCUGGAUUAAUUGUAGUUUCCGGGUCACCUUCAAAGGUAGCCCCACGUAGAGCGCAUUGCAGUGGUCUAAGCGGGAGAUAACUAGAGCAUGCACCACUCUGGCGAGACAGUCCGCGGGCAGGUAGGGUCUCAGCCUGCGUACCAGGUGGAGUUGGUAGACAGCUGCCCUGGAUACAGAAUUGACCUGCGCCUCCAUGGACAGCUGUGAGUCCAAAAUGACUCCCAGGCUGCGCACCUGGUCCUUCAGGGGCACAGUUACCCUAUUCAGGACCAGGGAGUCCUCCACACCAGCCCGCCCCCUGUCCCCCAAAAACAAUACUUCUGUCUUGUCAGGAUUCAACUUCAAUCCAUUAGCCGCCAUCCAUCCUCCAGCCGCCUCCAGGCACUCUACUAAUACUACUACUAAUAAUAGUAAUAAUUAAUAAAUAAAAUAAUUCACUUGGAUAAUUAUUAUUAUCCAUCAGAGGGGAAUACCUAGCAGUCUCAGAAGGAAUGGCAGAGCACUCCCACUGCCCCAUCCAAUAACCCAAUGCCUGCUUUCCCCUGCCUAAGAGCAGUGCCAGUCACUGCAUGCAUGCCCACCCCCGUCCGACUCCCUCGUUUGUUCUUUUGUAUAAGUGCCAUGUGCUAGCUUUAUGACUUGGUGAUCAAUUUUGCUAUUGAAUGCCCUGGCAUGGCCUCUGAUGGGUUUAUAAAUUAUAAGCCUGGCCAACGGAAUAGAUGAGCGUCCCCUUUCCUUUGCUGCAGGCCAUCUCCGGUGCACACAGCCACUUGCGCCUAUAGGAUUAGCAGCACAGGGCAGGUUGAUAUUGAAGUGUCUCACGUUAAUAACAGGGCAAAAUUGAUUGGGGAGGGGGAGGGGAGGAUACAGCAACCCACUUUAAAAGCAGCAUCCAGUUUCUGGAAGGUGGAUGAGAUGGAACUUGACUGCCAACAGUUCCUUGGUUACUGUUCAUAUCGAUUUAAUUUUUCCUUUUUUUUACAUGGGGGAUGGUAUAGCAUCGUGUCUAAGGGACUAAGCUGGAAAUCAAUAAAACCUCAGUUCAAAUCUCUCCUCCGCCAGGAACCCAGUUACAGCCUGAAGCCAGGGCUGGUUAAACACAGCUCUCCGGGCCUCUCAAUGUGGCCCUUGGAUCUUCCCCUGUGUGGUAUUGCAAGAGAAGACCCGACCAGGCUGCAAGACAAAGCAAAGUGAUACUAGCCACAAAGGCUAUGCUCUGCCUCAACAGUUGGAGGCAGUAAUGCUUCUGAAUACUGGUUGCUGGAAACCAAAGGAGGGCAAGGUGUUCUUGUGCUUGAGUCAGAAGCGGAUUUAGGGAAAUGUGACCGGUUUGGCCACACUGGACCUGAAGCCUGUGCUGAGGGCACUGAAACUGUGAUUUAGAAUGGAGCGUGAGAGGUGGAGGAAUACUGGAUUUUGGUGUUGCACAGGGAGCUGUUGAAAUUUGAGACCCCAAGAUCUGCCGCUGCUUGCGUCCUGCAUGCAGGUUUCUCACGGGCAUCUGGUUGGCCACUGUGAGAACAGGAUGCUGAACUAGAUGGAUGACUGGCCUGAUUCAGCAGGCUCUUCUUAUGUUCUUAAGCUUCAGGCUCGAUGGAUGCAAGACAAAGCAGGGUUCAGGCUGUGCUCUGAAUUUGCUCCAGCAAGGAGCAAGCUGAAACCUGGGACUGAACCCAGACCUUGCAGCUACUUCAUCCAGCACACGAUGGCACUCUAGCCUCAAUUUCUGUUUACUUAGUGUAUCCUACUUAUGCUGAAAUCCCAUGUACAGUGACUUGGGAGUAAGCCUCCUUCUUAAUGCUGCAGCGAGGCUCCUCACGGGGUCUCCUCCAUGGGAGCAUAUUCACCCAGUGCUUUUCCAGCUGCACUGGCUCCCGGUGGAGUACAGGGUCAGAUUUAAGGUGCUGGUUUUGACCUUUAAAGCCCUUCACGGCCUAGGACCCUCAUACCUAUGAGACUGCCUCUCCCGGUAUGCCCCACGGAGGUCCUUAAGGUCCAUAAAUAGCAACACCCUAGAGGUCCCGGGCCCUAAGGAAUUCAGAUUAGCCUCAACCAGAACCAGGGCCUUUUCAACACUGGCUCUGGCCUGGUGGAACGCUUACUCUCAUGAGACCAGGGCCCUGCAGGACCUGAUUUCUUUCCGCAGGGCCUGUAAGACAGAGUUGUUCCACCUGGCCUUCGGUUUGGAAUCAAUUUGAUUCCCUCCCCCUCUUCUUUUUUCCUUUCUCCUCCUUUGAUGGAACUCCUAUUUGGGGACUUCCCUGGCUUUUUGAUUCUAAGGAAACCUUUAUGGCAGGGGCAAGGAGCCCUUUCCUCCGUAAUGGGCUGGACACACUUGGUUGGUAAUUUUGGGUGCUGUUUGCCAGUGGUGGGUGGGGCCAGAGUCAAAACUGGGUGGAGUCCUGCAUUUUCUUUCAUUCUUUCUGCACCCCUUCUCUCUCUCUUUCCUCCAUUGCCACCCCUUCUCAACAUCUUGCUUUUUCUCUUCUCUAUUUCUUCCUGUCCAGUGGGUUGCUGAAGUGGACACACAUACAGAGAGAGAGAGAGAGAGAGAGUUGGCUCUGGUGCCAUCUACCUUCCUGCUAUCUAUCCUACCACCACCAGAGGGCACCACUCAACCGACACUGUUCUAUUCCCGGGGCAUCUACCGUGUCUGCAGUCUUCC